rnacentral:misc_RNA from 1 species
GCAAACUUGGUCAUUUAGAGGAAGUAAAAGUCGUAACAAGGUUUCCGUAGGUGAACCUGCGGAAGGAUCAUUACCAAAUGUCCUUUGACAAGCUUUGUGCCGGGUGCAAACCUGGCCAAAGUUCAAACCUUUUGUGAACAACAAAACGCUUCGCUUCGGCAGCGGGGUUGGGGCAACCCACCCGUCAGCCUGCCGGCGGCAACCCCCAAACUUGUUCAACAAAACAUGUCUGAAAAACCAUUCUGUAUCUGAAUGAAAAUUAAAACUUUCAACAACGGAUCUCUUGGUUCUCGCAUCGAUGAAGAACGCAGC